rnacentral:rRNA from 1 species
ACGGAACUUCUUUAAUUGACUUCUUCGGAAUGAUUUUGAUUAAGUUUAGUGGCGGACGGGUGAGUAACGCGUGAGUAACCUGCCUCUGAGAGGGGAAUAACAUUCUGAAAAGAAUGCUAAUACCGCAUAACAUAUAUUUAUCGCAUGGUAGAUAUAUCAAAGAUUUAUCGCUUAGAGAUGGACUCGCGUCCGAUUAGUUAGUUGGUGAGGUAACGGCUCACCAAGACCGCGAUCGGUAGCCGGACUGAGAGGUUGAACGGCCACAUUGGGACUGAGACACGGCCCAGACUCCUACGGGAGGCAGCAGUGGGGGAUAUUGCGCAAUGGGGGAAACCCUGACGCAGCAACGCCGCGUGAAGGAUGAAGGUCUUCGGAUUGUAAACUUCUUUUAUUAAGGACGAAGAAAGUGACGGUACUUAAUGAGUAAGCUCCGGCUAACUACGUGCCAGCAGCCGCGGUAAUACGUAGGGAGCAAGCGUUGUCCGGAUUUACUGGGUGUAAAGGGUGCGUAGGCGGCUUUGCAAGUCAGAUGUGAAAUCUAUGGGCUCAACCCAUAGCCUGCAUUUGAAACUGCAGAGCUUGAGUGAAGUAGAGGCAGGCGGAAUUCCCCGUGUAGCGGUGAAAUGCGUAGAGAUGGGGAGGAACACCAGUGGCGAAGGCGGCCUGCUGGGCUUUAACUGACGCUGAGGCACGAAAGCGUGGGUAGCAAACAGGAUUAGAUACCCUGG